GUUUCAUACAGGUUAGAGGGCGUAUUUUUAACUGUCUACAAAUAGACACUAACAGAAAUAAUAUUAGACACAAUGGGUCACUACAAAAACAGAUAUGCUGCUGGUGCUCUUUCUGUUAGGAUCUCACAAGAUUAUGGGCCCAGCUCUUCCCAAAAGGCUAACUAACUAGGUCAAGCUGGCCCAGGAGUUGCAGACAGAGCAUUUAAGGAAACUGAAGAACAACAAACUGGACGUUAACCAGUCAGGUUUCAGGAGUGGCCAUUUAACUGAGACUGCUACUUUCAGUCAUGGCCUGCAGAUUGCAAAAGCUGAUUCCAAAAUCAUCAGUUCUUAUUCUGCUGGAUCAAUCUGCUGCUUUUGACACUGUCAGUCAACAGAUCUUCCUUUCUGUCCUCUCAUCACUGGGCAUCACAGGGAUUCCGCUUCGCUGGUUUGAAUCAUAUAUCACUGGUAGGUCUUUCAGGGUUUCUUGGGGAGGGGAUCAACUGGUCAAAGCACAUCAACUGGUCACUGGGGUUCCUCAGGGAUCAGUUCUUGGACCCCUCCUCUUCUCCAUAUACACAACAUCACUGGGUCCCAUCAUAUAGGCACAUGGCUUCUACCAUAGCUAUGCUGAUGACACAUAGCUCUAUCUCUCAAUUCAACCAAAUGAUCCAACGAUAGCUGCACAGAUCUCAGGCUUCCUGGCAGACAUCUUGGCAUGGAUGAAAGAAUAUCACCUACAGUUCAACCUGGCAAAGACUGAGCUACUUGUCUUCCCUGCCACUCCAACUCUACAGAAUGAUUUCACAAUCCAGCUA